UUGCUUCAGUAACACAUAUACUAAAAUUGGAAUGAGAUUAUUAGAUGGCCCCAGUGCAAUGAAAAUGUGCAAAUUCAUGAAGCAUUCAAUUUUUUA
ensembl:snRNA U6 U6 spliceosomal RNA